rnacentral:rRNA from 1 species
CAGUCGAACGAUCUCUUCGGAGAUAGUGGCGCACGGGUGCGUAACGCGUGGGAAUCUUGCCCAAGGGUCCAGGAUAACAGUUAGAAAUGACUGCUAAUACUGGAUAAUGUCUUCGGACCAAAGAUUUAUUGCCCUUGGAUGAGCCCGCGUUGGAUUAGCUAGUUGGUGGGGUAAAGGCCUACCAAGGCGACGAUCCAUAGCUGGUCUGAGAGGAUGAUCAGCCACACUGGGACUGAGACACGGCCCAGACUCCUACGGGAGGCAGCAGUGGGGAAUAUUGGACAAUGGGCGAAAGCCUGAUCCAGCAAUGCCGCGUGAGUGAUGAAGGCCUUAGGGUUGUAAAGCUCUUUUACCAGGGAUGAUAAUGACAGUACCUGGAGAAUAAGCUCCGGCUAACUCCGUGCCAGCCGC